GACGAACGCUGGCGGCGUGCUUAACACAUGCAAGUCGAACGAUGAAGCCGGAGCUUGCUCUGGUGAAUUAGUGGCGAACGGGUGAGUAGCACGUGAGUAACCUGCCCUUGACUCUGGGAUAACUGCGGGAAACUGUAGCUAAUACCGGAUACGACCCUCGGAGGCAUCUCCUGGGGGUGGAAAGAAUUUCGGUCAAGGAUGGACUCGCGGCCUAUCAGCUAGUUGGGGAGGUAAAGGAUCACCAAGGCGACGACGGGUAGCCGGCCUGAGAGGGUGACCGGCCACACUGGGACUGAGACACGGCCCAGACUCCUACGUGAGGCAGCAGUGGGGAAUAUUGCACAACGGGCGCAAGCCUGGUGCAGCAACGCCGCGUGAGGGAUGACGGCCUUCGGGUUGUAAACCUCUUUUAGCAGGGAAGAAGCGAAAGUGACGGUACCUGCAGAAAAAGCACCGGCUAACUACGUGCCAGCCGCCGCAGUAA
rnacentral:rRNA from 1 species